AGAAAAGAUGUCGAUCAUGGAAGUGGUCUGCAGUCGAGGAACAAGGGGCGUGGUCCACGCGUUCCCUGCGGGCGGGGUGUGUGCAGAGAUCGGUCAUGAAGCAGCUGACAGCAUCGCGGGAGACCUUGAUCGGGGAAGGACGGAAGACACGGAGAGGAGGAGCGUGCUGGAAAGCAGAAUCCAAAAAGACUCUUUAAAAAUACUGCAAGUACGGGCUGCAAAGCCUGGUAUGUGUAUUGUGUCAAAAAGAUUAAAUAUUGUAAACCGC